rnacentral:lncRNA from 10 species
CUAGAACCAAGAAGCACCUAAAGUGGACUCAUGCCCAGCAUCCCUGCAGACUGACUUUCUCUGAGCUAUAGUUCUGCAUUGGACUGUUUUUCCUUUGCUAUCACCUGCCCAACACACAAUCCUGGAUGCUUUUGAUUGGUUGGAUUUCUUUUUUUUUUUUCCUGCCUUUUCUUUUUCUUUCCUUGACCCUGGGAAUUAUAAACGAGAAAUUGCUUUAAAAAGUAUUGUUCUGUGCUAAAAUUAGCCUUGUUUAUGAACAAGUUUUAUCCCUAGGGAUUUCCUGAAUUGCAAUCCCAGAUUACCUUGUAAAUGGGGCUGUGUUGUUUGAUUUGUAUAGUACUGAUCUGUAGGUUAAAAUACGUUUCCUUUCUUUUGUUUCAUUCUUUUUUUAAAAGUCUGGAUCCAGGUAAUGGCCUGAGUCACAUUUGCUUAGCUACUGAAGCGAUCUCAAUAUGUUAUCGCUUAGAGUUGAAACAUAAUCAAACAUACGUUAUACCUGGGGCUCUUGCACACUAUUUGAUAUAUAUAUGUUACUCUACAAAGAAACACAAACCUUGUAUGUUGAAAUGUAAUUCCUGUUUGAUCCUGCAGCUAGAAUGCUAAAGAAAUUGCAAAUAUCAAAAGUGACUUCAAAUACCCUGAAUAUAAGCUAGUCAACAGUAAGUGGAUGGUUCCAGAAUACCAUAUUCUAAGACAAAGCAGGAAUUAGAGAUCAACUGACCUCAUCCAUAAUGUUGCUCAGGUCUGUCUGUGGAUCUGUCCAUUUUGGAGUAAAAAACAAGGCAUGCUUCUGUGAUUGUGUUUAUGAAAACUGUAGUAUUUCAGAUUUAUGUUUUGCAAUUGUGCCUGCCUUGCAAUAAAACACCUUCAGUUGACUCAGCAAUAAGGUCUCUGUCAAUUUCCUGCAAAACUGUGUCCUUAUUGGCUUUCUAAAAAAGUCCAGUGUAGACCUAUCAGUGGUGACCUGCUAGACAUUUCAGCUGGAUCUAGCAUUAUUGCUCUUUCAGAAAUAGCACUAGAGCUGUCCAUUGUCUACACAUGGGGUCAGAGUUGUAUGGUCAGAUUCUCAAUUCUUCAUAUUACCAUCAGCUACAGAAAUCUCUAGUCACAGCCUAACCCUGUUACAUAUAUGUGCUGCCAUCUGCCAUUGUGUUCUAACUCUGGAGUCCCUAUUUAUUUCUGAGAUUUUAGGACAAGACAAAAAUCCUCUGGACCUCAGUGUCCUCAUAUACAAAAUGGGAAUAAUGAUACUUCCUAUGAUUGUGGUGAUAAGUGCCUGUAAAAGGACAUCACAUGGAUGGUACUUUGCACGUUGUAAAUUCAUUGGGAUGUGGCAAUGUUCAAUAAAUGGUGGUU